ACGCAGAUAGAACACUGACAGAACAUGAAGGACAGUCUGAAACAGUCCGUUACCUUCGUGGGCAGCAGCGUGUGAGGCCCAGAGCUGAGCCAUCUGAUUGGGUGAUCUGUAGGCUGGGUCAGAGGUUAGGGGGGAGGGGCCGGAAUAGCCCGGCAGGAAGGGACUGGAGGCUGCUGGGAAGGCAUCACCUGGAGGGAUGAGAUACGGAGACAUUGCAGCUUUAUUGAGACGAGACACACAGACACAUACAGUAGUCAAUACAGACUGACAUCAUACUAGAGGUCGACAGAUUAUGACAUCAUCACACCCAUCCAGAAUACAUCCCAGAGGCCUGGAGGAACAAGAUCAAAACACUAAAAAGGACAAAAACAGGAGAAAAAAAGCCCCGUGGCCCUGAGCCUACUCUCCGAGGGUAAAGGCCCCGCGGCCCUGAGCCCACUCUCCGAGGGUAAAGGCCCCGCGGCCCUGAGCCUACUCUCCGAGGGUAAAGGCCCCGCGGCCCUGAGCCUACUCUCCGAGGGUAAAGGCCCCGCGGCCCUGAGCCCAGUCUCCGAGGGUAAAGGCCCCGCCCCACGGCCCUGAGCCUACUCUCCGAGGGUAAAUGCCCCGUGGCCCUGAGCCUACUCUCCAAGGGUAAAGGCCCC
ensembl:lncRNA